rnacentral:rRNA from 1 species
AUUGAACGCUGGCGGCAUGCCUUACACAUGCAAGUCGAACGGCAGCGGGGACUUCGGUCCGCCGGCGAGUGGCGAACGGGUGAGUAAUGUAUCGGAACGUACCAUUGAGUGGGGGAUAACGUAGCGAAAGUUACGCUAAUACCGCAUAUUCUCUCCGGAGGAAAGCAGGGGACCGCAAGGCCUUGCGCUCUUUGAGCGGCCGAUAUCAGAUUAGCUAGUUGGUGAGGUAAAGGCUCACCAAGGCGACGAUCUGUAGCGGGUCUGAGAGGAUGAUCCGCCACACUGGAACUGGGACACGGUCCAGACUCCUACGGGAGGCAGCAGUGGGGAAUUUUGGACAAUGGGGGCAACCCUGAUCCAGCCAUGCCGCGUGAGUGAAGAAGGCCUUCGGGUUGUAAAGCUCUUUCGGCCGGGAAAAAUCGCAUGGGCUAAUACCCUGUGUGGAUGAUGGUACCGGAAUAAGAAGCACCGGCUAACUACGUGCCAGCCGCCGCCGUAA